CCUACGGGUGACAGUAGUGGGGAAUAUUGCACAAUGGGGGAAACCCUGAUGCAGCGACGCCGCGUGAGUGAAGAAGGAAUUCGUUACGUAAAGCUCUAUCAGCAGGGAAGAAACACUGACCUUACGGUCAGCAGACGGUACCUGAGUAAGAAGCCCCGGCUAACUACGUGCCAGCAGCCGCGGUAACACGUAGGGGGCAAGCGUUAUCCGGAUUUACUGGGUGUAAAGGGAGCGUAGAUGGUGCGCCAAGUCUGGAGUGAAAUGCCGCAGCUUAACUGCGGAACUGCUUGGGAAACUGGCGAACUAGAGUGCGGGAGGGGUAAGCGGAAUUCCUAGUGUAGCGGUGAAAUGCGUAGAUAUUAGGAGGAACACCGGUGGCGAAGGCGGCUUACUGGACCGUAACUGACGUUGAGGCUCGAAAGCGUGGGUAGCAAACAGGAUUAGAUACCCCAGUAGUC
rnacentral:rRNA from 1 species